UCCUGACUGGUCCAAGAGGCAGCACUGAGGAUACAGGCAGUCCCCAGACCCAGGCUGCUGGGCAACCAGGCACACAGAGGGGCUGGGAGCAGGUGUGGUCACCCAAGGUGGCCGCACACCUGAUGCAAGCAAGAUUCCUCACCACCCUGUUUGCAAAUGAGAUAACCAGCUGGAAUGAAGUAGCAGCUGCUCCUUUAAAAGGAGGUCCAAACAAUGACCAUCGAAGGCUACUAACAUCACAGAAAAGAGAAGCAACCAGACUUUGCCUUUGAUAAAAGUACUCAAUACCACCUAUGAAACGUUCUUGCAAAAGCAACACACACACACACACACACAAAAAAAAACCUCUCAAAUCCAAAUCUGAU